CGCCAAAAAGUAUUAAACAGGUGAUCAGAGGUCUCACAUCAGACCUUGUGAUUCUCGCGACUGUAGUCUUUUCCACGUGCUUCAUGUUUGGGAAGAAGUGUGUCUGUGUCUGCUUCGGGCAGAGAAGGAACGUCGUUUCACGUUCUUCUUCUGAUCCUGAGACCGACGUAGAUCAAAUCAGGGAAGCGUCACUGCGGGUCUUUCCCAGCCUAAGACCUGGGGCCAGCCAAUAUUUCAGCAGUAUUCGUCAGAGUUCGAAGAAUGGCUUGAUUUGGAGGAUGACACGGUGAUUGACAACAAGGUUUUCCAAACCAAGCUGGUGCCUAUCUCUAGUUCAACACACGCUCACGCACUCUAAGCUACUGUGUUUGCAGGAUGCCGCAUAUGCCCGGCCACUUUGUGAGAGUGCUGCUGGUAGCAAUGGGUCGUCGGUUUUCAGCGAGUCCAACCUUCCGUAUGUUGAUGAUACUGACCCAGACUUGCAGUCAAGUACCGGUAUCCUUAGUAUAUCUACUGCACUUCAAACCUCGUUUAAUACCAGUUGUCUUGUCGAUGGUGGAAAUAAUGCUUCAUUUUCCACAUUGCCUGCAGAUGACCGAGACCGCGAACGUCCUCUUCCUCAGCCUUUUCUGCUUCCCCAAAAUUUUUCGGCAGAUGUUGAGGCUGGUCCGAAGAAGGGGUCUAUGUCUGUUACAACUAUGGCAAAAUUCAUCACUGCUGUUGCACAUGGAGUCUUUGCUUUCAAACGCUAUCCAUCAUCAAUCGACUUUACUCUGGUAGCCGAUCAAAUAUGCACCAAGUACUCUUUCGUGAGGGAUUCUGUUGGAAAUG